UACGUAGGGGGCUAGCGUUGUCCGGAUUUAUUGGGCGUAAAGAGCGUGUAGGCGGCUGGGUAGGUCCGUUGUGAAAACUCGAGCUCAACCUCGAGACGCCGAUGGAAACCCUCCAGCUAGAGUCCGGAAGAGGAGAGUGGAAUUCCUGGUGUAGCGGUGAAAUGCGCAGAUAUCAGGAAGAACACCCGUGGCUAAGGCGGCUCUCUAGUACGGUACUGACGCUGAGACGCGAAAGCGUGGGGAGCGAACAGG
rnacentral:rRNA from 1 species